rnacentral:rRNA from 1 species
GAUGAACGCUGACAGAAUGCUUAACACAUGCAAGUCAACUGUGGCGGACGGGUGAGUAACGCGUAAAGAACUUGCCUCACAGAUAGCGACCACCUUUGGAAACGAAUGCUAAUACCUGAUACUGUGAGAGAGCUUUGCGUCCCAUUAGCUAGUUGGAGAGGUAACGGCUCACCAAGGCGAGGAUGGGUAGCCGGCCUGAGAGGGUGAUCGGCCACAAGGGGACUGGGACACGGCACUUACUCCUACGGGAGGCAGGAGUGGGGAAUAGUGGACAAUGGACCAAAGUCUGAUCCAGCAAUUCUGUGGGCAAGAUGAAGUUUUCGGAAUGUAAAGUGCUUUCAGUUGGGAAGCGGUACCAACAGAAGAAGUGACGGCUAAAUACGUGCCAGCAGCCGCGGUAAUAC